AAGGAGUAGAAGAAUUCUAAAAGAAGCUGCUAACUAUCUUUUAAGGCGGUUAAACUCCGUUUACUCCUUU
rnacentral:tRNA from 2 species